UGCCACUAGAUCUUACAGACUGGGCUCCUAUAGUAAUAUUAAGUCUCACACACUAACCCUGGUUUGUUAUUCUGUCUCUGGUGCUCUUAAUCUCUCUUUUGCAAACACCAUUGUCCAAAAGAGCAACAAACAAAAGUCUGAAAACGAAAAUGACCAAACUGUGCUGGUACUUCCAUCAGCUGUUAUCAUGCAGAAGUAGUUCUUGAGAUUCAGAAAUGCAAUGUAAUUCACCUGGGAUGAGAAAUCAAAUUUAAAAAUGAGCUGAACAGACAAUUUUAGGAAUAAGUAAGUUUCUAAAUAAACCAGCUUUUUAAUUCCACCUUUUCUAUAUUAGUACUGUAAAUCAAUAUAGUCUGCACUUGGAGAAAUGAGAUGAGUUUGAAUUGCCAUAAUUAAAUAUCAUCCUAUUUCUUGCAACACAGACAAACAAGGAAUUUUACUCCUGAUACAGGAGUUUUCUCAGGUAGGGAUAACUUGCUACAGCAAUGAUUUAAGCUCCAAGUGGUUCCAUAAUUUUUUAUAGAACAAUCCUCUUUCAAAACACGCAGCACAAUUCCUCCCUGGUGUCAGAGCACUGAAGGGAUGGAGUUAUACAAGAAAUUAUAUUGUUUAGAUGCUUUUUAAAAUACAAACAUAAUGAUGAUACAUUAAAUAAUGCCAUCUACUCAGCCAGACUCCUAAUUAUCUCCUUGUAAACUGUGUAUUCAUUCAUCACUUCAUUCACCUCAGCUGUAAUGCUGGUCAGUGUUAGACAUUAACACUGAGCCAUAAGUUUGAAUGGGAAGAAAAACAAGGAGAGUGCAAAGCUGUAUAUUAGCUUAGACAAGUAGGAUGUCAUUGCCAGACUGAAUUUGUUGAAUUUUUUGAUGAUACCAGGCAUUAAGCAAGUAAAUCUUUUGCCACUGAAGCAACAAUUCACCUACUUUCAGUAAUGACAUCCAGGAGGAAACGCAGUGGAUUUACAACAGAGAGUACCUAUACAUUAAUAAUAGCUAGUUAGCCCCAACCACAAAUUAGUGAUUCAAAAUGGAGGUUAGCAUUUUCCUUGAAAAAAACCCCAUAAUUUCUUAUUUUAUUCUUAUUUCAAAUGUUCAAGACCCUGGGUUUGAUUUUUUUUAAAUAUAUAUAUUUUUUUUUUGGUAGUAGGAAAGGAUUUUUGUCUGCAGACUAGCAAGCUCAAGGAAUCAUUUGGGUGAUUUCUGUUCUCGCCUAGCAAAGACUAUGGAGAUGUUCAGUGGUACACAAAAGCACCCAGGCCUUCUUGUGGGCUGUGGAUUGUUCCCACUUGUACCAGAUACCAGUGAACUAUAGUGGUUUCUCCUAAAUCACUGGACACGGCAGAUCUGCACAUGGAAGGUGACCUCAUGUGCUGAAAACAGAAGGUGUUGAGCAGCCAGCAUAGUUCUUUGUCUCAGCUAAAUUAUUUGGCUUCCCUUCUGCAGGAUUUUCUUUCCAUACGUCCUGAUUCUAUCACCUUUUCCCCUAAUAAAUGUGAAUGAGUACUCUAUAGGUGUAACUACAAUAAUACUAGUUCUUUUGCUGCAAAUACUGGAAGCCUGUAACCUGUAAUUCACUUUUCCUGAUGCUCUUCUAUUCUAACACUAGACAUGUUAUUUUAAAAUUUCUAGGACCUGAAAACUAAUUUUAUAUAGCUAUACAUAAUAGCAAUGGAAAUCAAGCCUUCUCCUUAUCUUAGUCUUUAGAGCUAUGUUGCAUCUCUUUGUCAAUUGGUGCCUUGUUCACCUCUAAAUAUCAUAUCCACCACUCCCGUAAUGAUUCCAAUAUCAGAGCUGAACAGGAAGAAGCAAGAUAUAUCUCCAUCUGUUUAAUUUAAGGGAUGGACCUUAACAGGACCAUGAUUGGAAGGCAUGGGGACCGUGCACACGGAGAGACUAUUGAUGCAGCUGGUUCCUGGACUGGGAGCCACCACUGGGCAUUGGUUCAACUCCCAGUCACAAGCUCCGAGAAGCUGAAGAAACACCACAUGAACAGUUCCUGUCCUGGCUCCUCCCCCUCAGUCCUUUGUGUUGUAUGAAUCUCUGAGAAGCAAGCCAACAUGACUGCAUGACCAGGUGAUUGGUCCUGUUACAGCCCAUACCUGAAACACAGCAGAAUGUUUCAUCCUUUGCUUCUGCAGUGCCUGCUGCACCUGAAAAUGGAACCAUUCUGCCUGAGGAUUUCCAUGUGGGUCUAGGGAGAACUGCAGUCACACACCACUGUGAGUUGUGCAGACUUGGAUUUCUUGUCUGCAGGAGAAGCACAGCCUGGUUUGCUACAAUGCAGCUGUCUUCAUUAAUGUUCUUCAAGCCCUGAUGUACCAGGACCACUGCCACCGGGUAAGAAGUUGGUUGAAUUUUCCAGACUCAUUCUCUUGGCUUAAGAAUGUUAAAUUGGGUGAUAAUGAGUAGUAACCGUGUCCCUUUUUAUGGUGAAGUUGACACUUGCCUUCUAGUAAACAGACACAGGGAUGAUCCUUAUUUUGCACAGGUCACCAAACAGCCCCUGGGAUGGGAAGGGUUAUUGGCCAUUUACCAAACACUGUUUGACUUGGGUUCAUGGGUGAGAGAUGAAAGGCUCUAUAUUGCAUUACCCAUCCCUGGGGCCAGCCAGUCCCCCUAAAGAAGCAUUUCAUUUACCAAGGCAACUGCUGGCCCAUGGGAAUCAGAGAGUUAAGAAAAAGGGGACGAGGUUUCAAUUGCAAAUGCUUCCUGAGGGCAAAUGUCUUAAAGUCACAGGGAAACUCACUGCUUCAGUGUCAAAAUUGUUGCUGCAGGACACUUAAUGACCAGCAGAUUUUUCCCAUAAUUGAUCUCCCCUUCUUCCCACCAAAACAUCCGUUAGGUUACUUGGGGUGUUUCUGCCUCUGCUCUAUUCACUUCUGCUCCAUCUCCCUGGGGGAGAUGCCCCAUAGCUGGGGCAAGCCCAGUGAGCAGGUAUGAACUGUUACCUUUGCUAAAAGCAUCAGAGUUUGGGCAGCAAGAGCCUUCUCCAGUUCCCAGAUGAAACCAGCAGCCCUGGUAUCACACUUAGAGGUGCCAGGAGCUUGGGAGGAGCGAAGCCUUCUGAACUUCCCAAAAUUUUUAAAAAUCCUAAAGCAGAGAUGCUGGUUGAUUUUCUUGGCUAUAGUGGAGUGGUCCUUACUAUGGGAGUAGUUCAAGUGCUGCCUUUUUACAGAUGAUGGAUGCAGUGCUUAAUGUUACAAUGGUUGCAGGAAGGAGAACAUCGGCUGCUCAGAUAGACCAGGUAUUCAACCUGGACCCAUCCUGAAUUUCUUAUGAUCUCAAAAUCCAGUGUUUUUCCAAAUUCAUUAGCACUGGUCAGAAUCUUUUUCCACUUUUCUGCCUUGCUGUUUGUGAUGUGAAUCAGGAGAUGUCCAGAAGUUGCAUUUGUUGUUUGAUAGUUUUACACCAUGGUUGUAACAGGGCAUCUGUCAAGUCAGCAGUUCUCUCUGUGUUGGUUUAUUUAUGUAAUACACCAUUUCCAGCAAGUUCUUGUUACCCAGUUCCUGCUGACAACCAGGGAACAGGCACAAGUCAACUGAGAAAAUGAACGACCAGAAGGUAAGUGGAAAGAAUAGUAAAUGCAGGCCAUUCAUGUGACAGGAUCCGAUUCAUUUUUAUGCCAGGGAGAUUUUUUAAAUGGGACUUCUCCCAGUGGAGAGCUCACAAUGCUCAAGGCCUGAUUCACUACAAAGACAAUACAUAAUUAUUCAGAGCUUAUUAUUAUUUUUUAUCACUCUUUUUUCAGUCACAUGGGGUGAGGGCACAGAUGAGAUCAGGACCUAGUUUAUUGCCCUGCACAGUACAGACUGUACCCUACCCUGCACUGUAAAAUCUCUAUAAAAGGUGCUAACCCUCUGCUUUAUGGAGGCAGGUAAAUGCACCCAGGCUGAAGGUUGAAGUCACUGGUCUAAGAUGGCAGAACCCAUCAGCAGCAAAAAUGGGCACUCAGCCUGAAACUAUCCUGGGAUGCUGCUACUCCUUGCUUUAGACUUCUUUUCUUUUUACCUUUAUUUUGAUUCACUGAAAUGAUGAAUCAAAUUAAAUGCCAUGUCCUUUGAAGCACUAUUUAUUGUGUUUAUAGAAAACUGAUUAUCUGUUCUCUCAGGCUAGUGGAGAUUAAGAGCGAUAAACUCAUCAGGAAAAAAUGCAGGUUGGGUGUGACAGGGAAACUUGUGUUUUAUUCCACAAAACCACCUUAGUGUCUGGUUGUGGUGUGUCAGACUGUGCGGUCUGACGGAUGCUGUGCCAACCUGUUCUCUGCUUUCAGGCUGGGCCCACAGGUUGGAUUUGGGUGAAGCAACUUUCAUGCAGAUAUGCCACUGAAAUAUGAAUACUAUGCCAGAGUACACUGCAGCUCUGGCCUGAGGUCCCACCGUGAAGCAAUGAGGUGACAAACCGGUUUCCUUUCUCGAGCCGAUUGUCACGUAGCUGCCCAGGGGCCUGCUUUGGUGGCUGCAGAGUCCCCUGACUUUUCAAGGACAUAUAUGCUAGUGUGACCCAUUCUCACCCUGUAUGCUUGGCAGGCGACAAAACUGCUCAUUUCCCUUGGUGGCAUUUCUCAGCCAGGAAACCAUGAGGCACCAGACUGUAGGCUGGGGGACAUCAGGGCAGCCACUUACUAGACACAGAGAAACCUCCAAGUACCAUUAAGUGAAGAUCAAUUCCCAGGGCUAAAGCAAGCUAGUAUUAAGGUCAACUCAGUCCAGGCCAAAAGAGUAGGGCAAAGUCCUUGUCUCUACUCCAAGUCUAUUCCUCUACUGAUUGUGAAGAGGCAUUUCUAGUAGCUCAGGAUCUUGAACACAGCCUGGCCUACCAGCUGAAGCUGUACCAACUAAAUCAUAUAUUGCCCAACAACAGAUAAAACCAAUGGUCAAUUUUAGCCUAAUCAUCACUUCUGCCAGAAGAAAGAGAAACUCUUUGAGGUAAGUUUCCUUGGAUAUAAUUCUUUCUUUCCAGGUUAAAGAACGGCUGCACCUAGUACAUAUCCUGAGCUGUAAUGUGGAUUUGCACCUUUCCUGUUAAAUAUAACUGGUUCAUGUCCAAAACAUCACUUCUAUUCCUAAUGCUCACUUACAUCCUUACAACUUCUACAUUAGUUGCAGGUGUGAAACGCCAACUGAUCCACACUUCUCUUGCUGUCAGCAGGAGAAUAAUGUAUGUCAAAGGCCCGAUUCUCAGCAGUGAGGUCACCAGGAUCUCCAUUUGCACAUCUGCUUUGCUGAACACAAACUCUGGAAAUUUGCAAGGCUCCAAGAUGCACAGAAUGGGACGAGGUCACUGGGGGCUAUACAUAAGAAACUAUUUGUGCUUCCCAUUUAGUAGGCAUGUCACAGAAUUUGCUCUCUGUACAAAAUAUUUGCUGUUUUACAACAGACUGCAUUUUGAUGGCCUUCGUAUGUUCUAUAUUAAUAAGGAAAAAAGCUAUACUUCUCCAUGUUACAUGACACAAGAGAAGUCAGGAUGGCAACAGGUUAAAGAAGAACCUAAUACAUUACGCAGCUUCAGAAAGUUAGUCCUAUUCCAUGUAUUCCUGUUUGGACUGGGCAGAUGUUGAGACCAAGAGAGAGCCUGAUCAGGGCUCCUGGAGGGAUGAUGCUCCUGGAGACUGCCUUGCACAGAGGCACCCAGAUUUUGUUUUGAGGGCUUUAAGAGAAGCAUUCAAAUAUUUCUACUUUGGGCAGCUAGUGGUUUUUAUUCAUACCUUGGAAAAAGUCUUCUGAUUGUCAUGUGUUUGCACUGGAUGCAUGGAUAGUUGUUCUUGCACAGAUACCUCUAAUACACAGUAUUUUCACCUUCUCUUUUUUUACAUGAGAUCAAAGACUAGUAAUAUAUACAUACAUAUGCCCAUUUCUUUCUUGAUUUCUGCUAAUCUAGAAUAAAUAAAGAUUCACACAAGUAA